AGGUAGUAGUGGGUGUAAUGUACCUACUAGCCGACGACGGGUACGGGUUGUGAGAGCAAGAGCCCGGAGAUGGAUUCUGAGACAUGAAUCCAGGCCCUACGGGGCGCAGCAGGCGCGAAAACUUUACAAUGCGGGAAACCGCGAUAAGGGGACACCGAGUGCCAGCAUAUUAUGUUGGCUGUCCACAUGUAUAAAUAACAUGUGUCAGCAAGGGCCGGGCAAGACCGGUGCCAGCCGCCGCGGUAACACCGGCGGCCCGAGUGGUAGCCGCUAUUAUUGGGUCUAAAGGGUCCGUAGCCGGUUUGAUCAGUCUUCCGGGAAAUCUGACAGCUUAACUGUUAGGCUUCUGGGGGAUACUGUCAGACUUGGAACCGGGAGAGGUAAGAGGUACUACAGGGGUAGGAGUGAAAUCUUGUAAUCCUUGUGGGACCACCAGUGGCGAAGGCGUCUUACCAGAACGGGUUCGACGGUGAGGGACGAAAGCUGGGGGCACGAACCGGAUUAGAUACCCGGGUAGUCCCAGCCGUAAACGAUGCUCGCUAGGUGUCUGGGAUGGUGCGACCGUUUCAGGUGCCGUAGGGAAACCGUUAAGUGUGCCGCCUGGGAAGUACGG
rnacentral:rRNA from 1 species